UGGAGGAGUGUGUGAAGAGGAUCCUGCUGUCAAAAGAUUCCUGGCCUGGGACAAGAACCUGAGGGUGUCUGACAAGUACCUCCUGUCUAUGAUCAUAGCUUAUGUUAGCCGGGCUGGCCUCUUCUCCUGGCAGUACCAACGAAUCCACUUCUUUCUGGCCCUGACGCUCAAGGACCUAACUUCUUGAUCCAGUCCUGUCCACCUCCCACCCACAGCCACCUCUGUAGAGGUAAAACAGACUGAAUCUCCAAGUCAGCUUCAUGGUCUCAAACCCCAACCACAUAGAUGACCUCCUAGAGGUGUGCUGGGUGCUCUGAGGUUGCUCAUCCAGACCUGAGAGAGAACAGUUUGUCACACAGGACGUGCUAGAAAUCCUUAACCCAGACAAUUUGGGCCCAAAUGUCGGCAAUGGUGAAAGGUUGAUCUUGGUCUAAAGUGAAUAAAUGUCCUUUAGUCAUGAAUAUCUCA
rnacentral:lncRNA from 1 species